CCAGGAUAUGCCAGAAUCAGCACAGGUUCCCUCCACUCUGUUGUUCCAUUUAUCUCUGUUGAUCCUGUGUUGGAGGCACAACAUGGAGACCCCAGGAGAUGGGCAACAGCAGCAGGAAUUGCCCUGAGGGGCUUGUUUUGGCUGGGAACUGGGAUCAGCACAGCCAGGGAAUCACAUUAAAUAAAUAUAUAGCAAGCUGCAGUGUCACAACAAGUAGAUGUACAAUUACGAAGACAAAAUACCCCAAGGAAAUCAACACAAGGCUUAUUAAUAUCCAGGCCUGCAGAAGACAACUGUCAGAC